AUUGAACGCUGGCGGCAGGCUUAACACAUGCAAGUCGAGCGAGCGGCGGCCGGGUGAGUAAUGUCUGGGAAACUGCCUGAUGGAGGGGGAUAACUACUGGAAACGGUAGCUAAUACCGCAUACCAUCAGAUGUGCCCAGAUGGGAUUAGCUAGUAGGUGGGGUAAUGGCUCACCUAGGCGACGAUCCCUAGCUGGUCUGAGAGGAUGACCGGCAACACGGGAACAUGGACACGGUCCAGACUCCUACGGGGGGCGGCAGUGGGGAAUAGUGCACAAUGGGCGCAAGCCGGAUGCAGCCAUGCCGCGUGGGUGAAGAAGGCCGUCGUGUUGUAAAGCACUUUCAGCGAGGAGGCGUUACUCGCAGAAGAAGCACCGGCUAACUCCGUGCCAGCAGCCGCGGUAAUU
rnacentral:rRNA from 1 species